GAUGAACGCUGGCGGCGUGCCUAAUACAUGCAAGUCGAGCGAAUGGAUUAAGAGCUUGCUCUUAUGAAGUUAGCGGCGGACGGGGAGUAACACGUGGGUAACCUGCCCAUAAGACUGGGAUAACUCCGGGAAACCGGGGCUAAUACCGGAUAACAUUUUGAACCGAAUGGUUCGAAAUUGAAAGGCGGCUUCGGCUGUCACUUAUGGAUGGACCCGGGUCGCAUUGGCUAGUUGGUGAGGUAACGGCUCAACAAGGCAACGAUGCGUAGCCGACCUGAGAGGGUGAUCGGCCACACUGGGACUGAGACACGGCCCAGACUCCUACGGGAGGCAGCAGUAGGGAAUCUUCCGCAAUGGACGAAAGUCUGACGGAGCAACGCCGCGUGAGUGAUGAAGGCUUUCGGGUCGUAAAACUCUGUUGUUAGGGAAGAACAAGUGCUAGUUGAAUAAGCUGGCACCUUGACGGUACCUAACCAGAAAGCCACGGCUAACUACGUGCCAGCCGCCGCGGUAA
rnacentral:rRNA from 1 species